UUUUUGCAGCAUUGGUCCCCGUGACGUUGCUUAUCACAUAUAUCAUAGCUGUUAGUGAUGAUGACGUUUAUCCAUUUUUUCCAUACGUCAGUGACACGGGGACACUACCCCCCGAGAGCUGUGUGUUUGGACAGUUCCUGAACAUCGCUGCCCUCCUAAUUUUGAUAACAGUAUGCGUGAGAUACAAGCAACUUGAUACCUUCUGGUCAUCGCAGGACGCUGCUACCAAAUUUCCAAAAACAAACAACGUAGCCUUAGUAAUGGGUGUAUUGGCCGCACUUGGUUUGAGCAUUGUCGCAAAUUUCCAGGUUGAUCAUGUCAAGUCGGUACACAUCAUCGGUGCUUUUUUUGCCUUCAUAGUGGGAGGGAUGUAUUUUUAUAUCCAGGCGUACAUUUCGUGGUCUACUAGAGACAUUCCAGGGUCGUCAAAGAUAGUGCGGGUGGCACAACUUAUCAUCUGUGUUCUUUAUGCAGUUUUUGCAAUCAUAGGAAUAGUCACCGUCAUUGUAGGUAAAUCGAAGCUAGGACCCAGUACCAUUCUAACCCGCGAGUGGUCGCCGGAAUACGCGGUAAAUAUCACGACUUACUUUAUUCCAAUAUUUUUUAUACGGCUGUGAAGUAUGGGGUUUACAAAGAACAAAGCUUAUUGAGAAAUUUCAACUUAAGUUCUGUAAACAUAUAUUGUAUUUCAAUUCCUCAACACAAAAGUUUAUGAUGUAUUGUGAACCUUAAAGGUAUCCACUUAAUAUUAAUAUCAAAGUUAGGCUGAGUUCAUUUCUGAGUAAAUUAAUUAAUUUCCAGAAUUCUAAAUCGUCUUCAAAACUUUGUUAUGUACCCAAAAACUAUAAGAAUCUGUAAAGAACAUUUUAGAUGAUUUUGGAAUGUCGUAUUUGCGGCAUGAAAAUUCUAUAAAUAUUCAUUGGUUAAAAAUGAAAGUUCUCAACAUAUUAAUAGAUCAGUUCAAACAAUCAUGGUACAGUGAUGUACAAAAUUCACCAAAAAUAAUAGAAUUUGUAAAUUAUGUACUUGUAAUGAAAUUGAAGAUGAAUUCCACUAUUUGUUUAACUAUUCUAAUAUUUGUACAACAGAUGCUAGAACCAUGUAUUUACCAAAAUAUUAUAUAUGAAACCCAAAUGUCAUAAAAUUUGAAGUAUCAAACAAAUACCAACUUACCAUGAUUUGUAGAUUUAUAAAACAAUUAUUGAGAGAGUUAAUUCUCCUGGUUAAUGUACAAAUCCUUCUUUACAAUGUAAUUCGUAUAUAUUUUCUUUACACUGUAAACACAGUUUAUUGAGAAUAAAGUUCAUUGUCAAUGUCAUACCUUCUUCCUAUUCUAACACGGUUUCACAUUCUCCCAGGGCUAUGCUGAACACGUGGUGUCCACGGUGAUGGAGUGGUUAGGGACUUUCCUGAUCUGUGCGUUCGCCCUAACCUUUGUUCCAGAAUUCAAACAGUUAAACCUGGAGUUAACAUUUAAGAUAAAAAAUGUAGACAGUAACUUAAUGCCCUCUGCAUAGAGAAUGUUUCGCAAAGAUUUUGCGCGUAAUAACAUAAUUCAGGGACAUGUCAUAUCAUUAAAUUUUUCUAACACAG
rnacentral:misc_RNA from 1 species